UACGAAGGGGGCUAGCGUUGUUCGGAAUUACUGGGCGUAAAGGGCGCGUAGGCGGUGUGUCAAGUCAGGCGUGAAAGCCCCGGGCUCAACCUGGGAACCGCGCUUGAGACUGGCACGCUAGAGUUCGGGAGAGGAUGGUGGAAUUCCCAGUGUAGAGGUGAAAUUCGUAGAUAUUGGGAAGAACACCGAUGGCGAAGGCAGCCAUCUGGACCGACACUGACGCUGAGGCGCGGAAAGC
rnacentral:rRNA from 1 species